GAUGAACGCUGGCGGCGUGCCUAAUACAUGCAAGUCGAGCGAACCGACGAGGAGCUUGCUCCUCUGACGUUAGCGGCGGACGGGUGAGUAACACGUGGAUAACCUACCUAUAAGACUGGGAUAACUUCGGGAAACCGGAGCUAAUACCGGAUAAUAUAUUGAACCGCAUGGUUCAAUAGUGAAAGACGGUUUUGCUGUCACUUAUUGAUGGAUCCGCGCCGCAUUAGCUAGUUGGUAAGGUAACGGCUUACCAAGGCGACGAUGCGUAGCCGACCUGAGAGGGUGAUCGGCCACACUGGAACUGAGACACGGUCCAGUCUCCUACGGGAGGCAGCAGUAGGGAAUCUUCCGCAAUGGGCGAAAGCCUGACGGAGCAACGCCGCGUGAGUGAUGAAGGUCUUCGGAUCGUAAAACUCUGUUAUUAGGGAAGAACAAAUGUGUAAGUAACUAUGCACGUCUUGACGGUACCUAAUCAGAAAGCCACGGCUAACUACGUG
rnacentral:rRNA from 1 species